UUUUUUUUUUUGUCUUUUUUUUUUGUUGUUGUUGUUGUUGUUGCUAUUUCUUGGGCCGCUUCCUCGGCAUUAUUGUUGUUGUUGUUGUUGUUGCUAUUUCUUGGACCGCUCCCGCGGCAUAUGGAGGUUCCCAGGCUAGGGGUUGAAUCGGAGCUGUAGCCACCGGCCUACGCCAGAGCCACAGCAACGCGGGAUCCGAGCCGCGUCUGCAACCUACACCACAGCUCACGGCAACGCCGGAUCGUUAACCCACUGAGCAAGGGCAGGGACCGAACCCGCAACCUCAUGGUUCCUAGUCGGAUUCGUUAACCACUGCGCCACGACGGGAACUCCUACAUUUUUUUUAAAAUGUUUUUUCCCAUAA
rnacentral:lncRNA from 9 species